CUUAAGCCCUUAGAGUUUGAUCCUGGCUCAGGAUGAACGCUAGUUACAGGCUUAACACAUGCAAGUCGAGGGGAAACGACAUCGAAAGCUUGCUUUUGAUGGGCGUCGACCGGCGCACGGGUGAGUAACGCGUAUCCAACCUGCCCACCACUUGGGGAUAACCUUGCGAAAGUAAGACUAAUACCCAAUGACGUCUCUAGAAGACAUCUGAAGGAGAUUAAAGAUUUAUCGGUGAUGGAUGGGGAUGCGUCUGAUUAGCUUGUUGGCGGGGUAACGGCCCACCAAGGCUACGAUCAGUAGGGGUUCUGAGAGGAAGGUCCCCCACAUUGGAACUGAGACACGGUCCAAACUCCUACGGGAGGCAGCAGUGAGGAAUAUUGGUCAAUGGGCGAGAGCCUGAACCAGCCAAGUAGCGUGCAGGAUGACGGCCCUAUGGGUUGUAAACUGCUUUUAUAAGGGAAUAAAGUGAGCCUCGUGAGGCUUUUUGCAUGUACCUUAUGAAUAAGGACCGGCUAAUUCCGUGCCAGCAGCCGCGGUAAUACGGAAGGUCCGGGCGUUAUCCGGAUUUAUUGGGUUUAAAGGGAGCGUAGCCGGAGAUUAAGCGUGUUGUGAAAUGUAGACGCUCAACGUCUGCACUGCAGCGCGAACUGGUUUCCUUGAGUACGCACAAAGUGGGCGGAAUUCGUGGUGUAGCGGUGAAAUGAUUAGAUAUCACGAAGAACUCCGAUUGCGAAGGCAGCUCACUGGAGCGCAACUGACGCUGAAGCUCGAAAGUGACGGGUAUCGAAACAGCUCUCUCGUAUUCGGGGAUAGUCCGCACGGUAAACGAUGGAUGCCCGCUGUUGGUCUGAAUA
rnacentral:rRNA from 1 species